rnacentral:rRNA from 1 species
AGAGUUUGAUCCUGGCUCAGAUUGAACGCUGGCGGUAUGCUUAACACAUGCAAGUCGAACGGUAACAGGCCUUCGGGCGCUGACGAGUGGCGGACGGGUGAGUAACGCGUAGGAAUCUGCCUCAUAGUGGGGGACAACGUGGGGAAACUCACGCUAAUACCGCAUACGCCCUACGGGGGAAAGCGGGGGAUCUUCGGACCUCGCGCUAUGAGAUGAGCCUGCGUUAGAUUAGCUAGUUGGUGGGGUAAAGGCCUACCAAGGCGACGAUCUAUAGCUGGACUGAGAGGACGAUCAGCCACACUGGGACUGAGACACGGCCCAGACUCCUACGGGAGGCAGCAGUGGGGAAUAUUGGACAAUGGGCGCAAGCCUGAUCCAGCAAUACCGCGUGUGUGAAGAAGGCCUUCGGGUUGUAAAGCACUUUCAAUUGGGAGGAAAACCUACCGGUCAAUACCCGGUAGCUUGACAUUACCUUUAGAAGAAGCACCGGCUAACUCCGUGCCAGCAGCCGCGGUAAUACGGAGGGUGCGAGCGUUAAUCGGAAUUACUGGGCGUAAAGCGUGCGUAGGCGGUUCGUUAAGUCAGAUGUGAAAGCCCUGGGCUCAACCUGGGAACUGCAUUUGAAACUGGCGGACUAGAGUUUAGUAGAGGGGAGUGGAAUUUCAGGUGUAGCGGUGAAAUGCGUAGAUAUCUGAAGGAACACCAGUGGCGAAGGCGACUCCCUGGACUAGAACUGACGCUGAGGUACGAAAGCGUGGGUAGCAAACAGGAUUAGAUACCCUGGUAGUCCACGCCGUAAACGAUGUCAACUAGCCGUUGGUCCUAUUUACAGGAUUAGUGGCGCAGCUAACGCAUUAAGUUGACCGCCUGGGGAGUACGGCCGCAAGGUUAAAACUCAAAG